rnacentral:rRNA from 1 species
UUGUCCCUACGGGAGGCAGCAGUGGGGAAUAUUGGGCAAUGGGCGCAAGCCUGACCCAGCAACGCCGCGUGAAGGAAGAAGGCUUUCGGGUUGUAAACUUCUUUUCUCAGGGACGAAGAAAGUGACGGUACCUGAGGAAUAAGCCGCGGCUAACUACGUGCCAGCAGCAGCGGUAAUACGUAGGUGGCAAGCGUUAUCCGGAUUUACUGUGUGUAAAGGGCGUGUAGGCGGGACUGCAAGUCAGAUGUGAAAACCACGGGCUCAACCC